UUGCUUGGGAAUGCAGCCCAAAGCRGGUGGUACACUCCAUCUAAGGCUAAAUACGGGCACGAGACCGAUAGUCAACAAGUACCGUAAGGGAAAGUUGAAAAGAACUUUUAAGAGAGAAAACAC